GGAAGGGACUGGUGGAACUCUAAGAGGACAAUCAGGAACUGGACCCCUAGACGGGGUCUGGAUCCCAUAAGCAAAGUGUGUCCCAUUAGCAUUGUCCUCAAGUAGGACAGAGGGAUUUUAUGAGCUUCAUAUCAUCGGGUAGAUGUGAUAUAAAAGGCGAACAAAUGAAAAUUAGAGGAAAAUUCAGUACCUUAGACCCUAUAACUUGAAUACAGAAC
rnacentral:lncRNA from 1 species